UACGAAGGGGGCUAGCGUUGCUCGGAAUCACUGGGCGUAAAGGGUGCGUAGGCGGGUCUUUAAGUCAGGGGUGAAAUCCUGGAGCCCAACUCCAGAACUGCCUUUGAUACUGAGGAUCUUGAGUUCGGGAGAGGUGAGUGGAACUGCGAGUGUAGAGGUGAAAUUCGUAGAUAUUCGCAAGAACACCAGUGGCGAAGGCGGCUCACUGGCCCGAUACUGACGCUGAUACGCGAAAGCGUGGGGAGCGAACCGG
rnacentral:rRNA from 1 species